UAGGAUAUAACUCAGCAGUAGAGUGACACCUUGACGUGGUGGAAGUCAUCAGUUCGAGCCUAAUUAUCCCUA
rfam:Citrus clementina cultivar Clemenules unplaced genomic scaffold scaffold_1, whole genome shotgun sequence.